UACGGAGGGAGCUAGCGUUGUUCGGAAUUACUGGGCGUAAAGCGCACGUAGGCGGCUAUUCAAGUCAGAGGUGAAAGCCCGGGGCUCAACCCCGGAACUGCCUUUGAAACUAGGUAGCUAGAAUCUUGGAGAGGUCAGUGGAAUUCCGAGUGUAGAGGUGAAAUUCGUAGAUAUUCGGAAGAACACCAGUGGCGAAGGCGACUGACUGGACAAGUAUUGACGCUGAGGUGCGAAAGCGUGGGGAGCAACAGG
rnacentral:rRNA from 1 species